GAUGAACGCUGGCGGCGUGCUUAACACAUGCAAGUCGAACGGAAACGCCCUGCUUUUGUGGGGUGCUCGAGUGACGAACGCGUGAGUAACACGUGAGUAACCUGCCCUUGUCUUUGGGAUAACUUCAGGAAACUGGGGCUAAUACCGUAUAGGAGAUCCUGCUGCAGGGUGGGCGUUGGAAAGUUUCGGCGGUUGGGGAUGGACUCGCGGCUUAUCAGCUUGUUGGUGGGGUGGUGGCUUACCAAGGCUUUGACGGGUAGCCGGCCUGAGAGGGUGACCGGCCACAUUGGGACUGAGGUACGGCCCAGACUCCUACGGGAGGCAGCAGUGGGGAAUAUAGCACAAUGCGCGGAAGCGUGAUGCAGCAACGCCGCGGGCGGAAAGACGGCCUUCGGGUUGUAAACAGCUUACGCCUGUGAAGAAGCGUUAUUGACGGUAAUGGAUAAAGAAGCACCGGCUAACUACGUG
rnacentral:rRNA from 1 species